AGGGGGAGGCCGGAUCCUGGGCUUUGUCCCGGCACCCUGUGCUCCCAGUCUGCGCUGUUGGAUUCACGCUUCCGGCCCCAGAGCCCCUC
rnacentral:pre_miRNA from 1 species